UAGUCCUACGGGGCGCAGCAGUGGGGGAUAUUGGACAAUGGGGGAAACCCUGAUCCAGCGAUGCCGCGUGAGGGAAGAAGGUUUUCGGAUUGUAAACCUCUGUGGAGGGGGACGAUAAUGACGGUACCCCUUUAGGAAGCCACGGCUAACUACGUGCCAGCAGCCGCGGUAAUACGUAGGUGGCGAGCGUUGUCCGGAAUUACGGGGUGUAAAGGGAGUGUAGGCGGGAAAGCAAGUCAGAAAUGAAAACUAUGGGCUUAACCCAUAGCCUGCUUUUGAAAAUGUUUUUCUUGAGAGAAGAAGAG
rnacentral:rRNA from 1 species